ACUUUUACAAUAAUUUUAUUUUUGGUUUAUGUGCCUUUUGCAUCAUGCCUAUUGGAGAGUUAUAGAAUAAAUUUCCUUAACCGAAAACUUGGGAUUUCAUUGUUAAUUGGGCUGGAUUAGAAUCGGGUAGAUAUUAAUGUUAAAAUUAUCAGUGUGGUGUGAAAAAUUAGUCGAUCAAGUUUAUAACUGUUUUUUAGCUUUAAAUUACUAUUAUUCCUUUGGUUAAGAGAUCACAGGAAAUAUUAUAUUUAAACUGUAUUUUAUUUAAAAUAGGGUUAAAACUACCCAAUUUUUUUAAGUUUGUUAAAAUAUUUUAAGUGCGGGUUUAAAAUUAAGUUUAAAGGCUAUUUAUUAAAAUUUUUAGAAAUUAUGAAUUUUUAGAUAAGUAAUAUAAUCGUAUUUAAUUGUUUCUAAAGUAUAGCCCGUCUGUUUAUUAAAAACAUUUCCAUGUUUAAAGUUACAUGGUAGUACCUGCUCUAUGUUUAUAUUAAUGGCCGCAGUAUCUUGACUGUGCGAAGGUAGCAUAAUUAAUUGCCUUAUAAUUAAAGGCUUGUCUGAAUGGUUUGACGAGGUUAGAACAAACAUUUAGUACUUUAUUGAAAUUAGUAUUGAGGGUACAGAACCCUCAUAUUUUAAUUAGACGGAAAGACCCCGGGAUCUUUUAUUUUUGUCUGGGGCAGAUAUAAAUAAUUUAUUAGUAUUUUGACCCACGUUAGUGUUUAGUGAGUUAAGUUACCCCGGGGAUAACAGUGUAAUAGUCAAUAAGAGUUCUUAUCGAUUUGAUUGUUUGCUACCUCGAUGUUGACUUAGGUAAAUAUUUUAGGCGCAGUAGUCUAUGAUUUUGGUCUGUUCGACCAGUUUUACCUCCAUGAGUUGAGUUAAGACCGGUGUAAGCCAGGUCGGUUCUUAUCUAUUAAUGAGAUUUACUAGUACGAAAGGAUUGUAAGUCUUUUUUUU
rnacentral:rRNA from 1 species